CCUCCCCCUCCCCUCUCCCUCUCUCUCUCUCUCUCUCUAUAUAUAUAUAUAUAUAUAUAUAUAUGAGGAAGCUCAUCUUACCAACCAAGUCCCAUCGAUCCAUCUUAACAUUCAAAUAUAAUAACGUCUGCCCCAUGUCUGCCUUCAAGCUUCCCUGCCUGUGCAACCAUUAACAAUCAAUGAGCUGUAUUGUAUAUCCAUCCAUCCGCCCUCUCUUCAAGUAUAGUGUGCGCGGUGCACAUGCUCACUAACCUAACCGGUACUUGCUCUCUAAUUAGUUAAUUAGUUCCCAGCUCUCACCGUCUCACCCCCCUCCCUCCCUCCCUCUGCCAAAUCUCAAAUCUGCCCCUGCCCGCAGCCAGCCCAGGUCUCCAAACUUUGAAAACCUCACUCACCAACACGGUUGACCUGACCCGGCUGCCCGGGUGCCCAGUACAGGAUUCAGGAAGGAAGUUGAGGUUGAGGAUCGAGAGUAUCGCGGUUGGUGAUGGUGGGUGGGUCCAUGUGCGUGCAAGCAAGCAAGCAAAUACAAAAAUGUCUUCUUCAAUCCCACCAGCGGCAGCAGGACUGAAGGGACCUACGACCACCUUAGCUGAGCUGAGCUUAUUAAGCUGACACUAUGUUAUUACUACACUCUUGAGUCUAGAGUGUAAAACCUUACCUACCCCCAUACAGAAAGAAGGCGAGUCAAAUAAGCCACUUGAAAAAUCUUGAUGGAAAUGAAAUGCACCCUUGACUCUUGCUAUCAUGAAUGCUCUACAAACUCGACUCAGACGAAAAUUGGGCCUUGGCUGGCGGGCAGGCAGGCUUGGCUUGGCUUGGUGUGAACUAGCAGUAGCACCAUCCAUGCCCUAAACUUUUACAUUUGGGCUCAGAAUGAAUGACAAUAUGGGGACAGGCAGGCCUAAUUGAAGAAAUUUGUGCGGGGCAUCGGGGGAGUGGCAAUGCAGAUUAGAUUAUACUCUACUAUUAGAUUAGAUUAGAUUAGAUUACAGAUUACAGUGGUAUUGGCAUUGGAUAUUUGGUAGUAAAGUCCAGUCCAGUCCGGUCCGGUAUUUCCCGAGUGCAGAUAGCGUUAACCAA